CCUACGGGAGGCAGCAGUGGGGGAUAUUGCACAAUGGGGGAAACCCUGAUGCAGCGACGCCGCGUGGGCGAAGAAGUAUUUCGGUAUGUAAAGCCCUAUCAGCAGGGAAGAAGAAAUGACGGUACCUGAGUAAGAAGCAUCGUAUAAAUACGUGCCAGCAGCCGCGGUAAUACGGAGGAUGCGCGCGUUAUCCGGAUUUAUUGGGUUUAACGGGUGCGUAGGCGGCGCGUUAAGUCAGUGGUCAAAUUGAGGGGCUCAACCCCUUCCCGCCAUUGAAACUGGCGCUUUUGAGUGGAAGAGAAGUAUGCGGAAUGCGUGGUGUAGCGGUGAAAUGCAUAGAUAUCACGCAGAACCCCGAUUGCGAAGGCAGCAUGCCGGCUUCCUACUGACGCUGAAGCACGAAAGCGUGGGGAUCGAACAGGAUUAGAUACCCCUGUAGUC
rnacentral:rRNA from 1 species